UACGUAGGGUGCAAGCGUUGUCCGGAAUUAUUGGGCGUAAAGAGCUCGUAGGCGGCCUGUUGCGUCCGCUGUGAAAUCCCGGGGCUCAACCCCGGGCCUGCAGUGGAUACGGGCUGGCUAGAGGCAGGCAGGGGAGAACGGAAUUCCUGGUGUAGCGGUGAAAUGCGCAGAUAUCAGGAGGAACACCGGUGGCGAAGGCGGGUCUCUGGGCAACAACUGACGCUGAGGAGCGAAAGCGUGGGGAGCGAACAGG
rnacentral:rRNA from 1 species